AAAAAACCCCUAGGGUGCCCAAGGUUAUUGUGUUCUUGUGUUCUUGAACACAAUCAAGGAAGGUAGCAAAUAGGUCUCUCUAUGGCACGCGUGGUGAUGUGGGGAGUUCUAUCAUCGUGGUGUGUAUGGCGUGGGGGCAUCCUAUGGACGAGAAAUGAUCUGUUUAAAACGCCAUUUUCUUUUAAUAAUAUUAUGUUUAGUGGGACUUUUUAAAACUUAUCAGUGGGACUUGAACUUUUGGUUGUUUUAGAACUUUGCAUGAAAACUGAUAUUUUCUUUUUAAA